CCCCUGAGCCAUGUUCUGAGGUCUCCAGGGUUGCGUUGGCCUCUCCAUUGGCCAAGGAAUCAGCUUCAGAAUGCACUGGAUGCCGUGGUUGAAGGAUGGGAGUACUCUCUCUGGAAGCUCUUCUCAUAGCUGAAGCUCCCAGCUACUACAGCUGUCAGCAAAGCAAGAGGUGCCUGAUGAUGCAGGA